rnacentral:rRNA from 1 species
CUACGGGGCGCAGCAGUGAGGAAUUUUGCGCAAUGGGGGAAACCCUGACGCAGCAACGCCGCGUGAGUGAAGAAGGCUUUCGGGUCGUAAAGCUCUGUCAAGUGGGAAAAAAGUCUCGUGGUUAAUAUCCACGGGAGUUGAUGGUACCAUUAAAGGAAGCACCAGCUAACUCCGUGCCAGCAGCCGCGGUAAUACGGAGGGUGCAAGCGUUGUUCGGAAUUAUUGGGCGUAAAGAGCGUGUAGGCGGCUUGGUAAGUCAGAUGUGAAAGCCCUGGGCUCAACUCAGGAAGUGCAUUUGAAACUACCUUGCUUGAGUAUGGGAGAGGAGAGUGGAAUUCCCAGUGUAGAGGUGAAAUUCGUAGAUAUUGGGAGGAACACCCGUGGCGAAGGCGACUCUCUGGACCAAUACUGACGCUGAGACGCGAAAGCGUGGGGAGCAAACAGGAUUAGAUACCCCGGUAGUC